UUUUUUUUUUUUUUUUUUUUUGAGAUGGAGUCUCGCUCUGUCACCCAGGCUGGAGUGCAGUGGUGUGAUCUCAGCUCACUGCAACCUCCACCUCCUGGGUUCAAGUGAUUCUCCUGCCUCAGCUUCCUGAGUCGCUGGGACUACAGGCAGGAUGAUAGCUCACUGUAGCCUCCAACUGCUGGGCUGAAGUGAUCCUCCCACCUCAGCCUUCCAAGUAGCUGGGAUUAUAGGCAUGCACCAUCACACCUGGCUAAUUAAAAAAAAAUUUUUUUUUUUUUUGUAGAGAUGGGAGUUUUGCUAUGUUGCCCAGGCUGAUCUCAAACUCCUGGUCUCAAGCGAUCUUCCUGCCUCGCCCUUCCAAAGUACUGGGAUUACCGGCAUGAGUCGCUGUGCCUGCCCCAUCCCCUGAAACUUCUAAUGCUAGAGACUUCUAAGGUGAGCAAGUAGUCCCUGGGACAGGAAUGCAAUAAUAAAAGGAAAAGAUGGCAAAGUCUGUCUACUCUUUCUGGGCCUUGGGAGGGUGAGCCUAGCACCAGGCUGUGCUGGUGGGGGCUGGAGGGAGGCCAGUGAAGCUACCAGGUAAGACUGGACAGAAGGGCUUGUCCCAGGAGGUCUCCUGAUCCGUUUCUUCCUCUUCCAUCCUACAUUGUGUGACCUUGAGUGACUCUCUUCCCUCUCUGUGCCUUGAUAUUUAUUUUCCCACAUGUAUGAACUGUGAGGGUUUAGGGUUCCCUGAGUCACUGAAGCAACAAUCAUAUAGAGUGAGUUUCUGUAAUGUGGGGGCCACCUGCACCCGGUCGCUCAGUGUGGGCAGACCUCAGUCUAGGGACUUGAGAGAGCAGGAAGCUGAUUUCUGGAGGGGUCUGAUGGGGGAAAACAGGAGCUGAGACAACCAGCAUCCACCUCCCAAAUCCUCCUUCUGCUCAGGGCUCCCGGACUGUGCUUCCCAUUUUCCACCCUCUCCACAGCGUGGCUGGAGUCUAGAGGUCAGAGCGCUGCAGUCUAUUUUUUUGUUUUUUUUUUUGUUUUGUUUUGAGACAGGGUCUUGCUCUGUUGCCCAAGCUGGAGUGCAGUGGCGCAAUCAUGGCUCACUGCAGCCUCAAACUCCUGGGCUCAGGCAAUCCUCCUGUCUCAGCCUCCUGAGUAGCUGGGAUUACAGGUGUAUUCCACCAUUCCCAGCUUUCUUUCUUUUUUUCUUUUUUUUUUUUUUUAAUUUUUGUAGCAACAGGGUCUUGCAAUGUUGCCCAGGCUGGAGUGCAGUGGUGCUAUCAUGGCUUACUGAAGCCUUGGACUCCUGAGUGAUUCUCCUACCUCAUCUCCCUCAGUAGCUGAGACUACAGGCACAUGCCACCAUGCCUGGCUCAUUAAAACAAAAAAAAAAAUUUUUUUUUUUCUCGUAGAGAUAGAGUCUUGUUCUGCUGACCAGGCUAGUCUGGAACUUCAGGCCUCAAGUGAUCCUCCUGCCUCAGCAUCCCAAAGUGCUAGGAUUACAGGUAUAAGCCACCGCACCCUGCUUGGGGUCUACUUUUGGAUCUACCUCUAAAUAGCUGUGUGACCUUGAACCAGUCGGAGGUUCAAGGAGCUGCAGUUUCUCCUGUAAGCAUCAGAACCCAGAAAUUCCUGUGGGGUUCAACCAUCACCUGGGAGUGACCACAUCACUGGCCUCAGUCUCAAGACCAAGAUGGAUUUUUUUUUUCCGAGAUGGAGUCUCACUCUGUCACCUAGGCUGGAGUGCAGUGGCAUGAUCUCCGCUCACUGCAACCUCUGC
rnacentral:lncRNA from 1 species